rnacentral:rRNA from 1 species
GACGAACGCUGGCGGCGUGCUUAACACAUGCAAGUCGAACGGAAAGGCCCUGCUUUUGUGGGGUGCUCGAGUGGCGAACGGGUGAGUAACACGUGAGUCACCUGCCCUUGACUUUGGGAUAACUUCAGGAAACUGGGGCUAAUACCGGAUAGGAGCUCCUGCUGCAUGGUGGGGGUUGGACAGUUUCGGCGGUUGGGGAUGGACUCGCGGCUUAUCAGCUUGUUGGUGGGGUAGUGGCUUACCAAGGCUUUGACGGGUAGCCGGCCUGAGAGGGUGACCGGCCACAUUGGGACUGAGAUACGGCCCAGACUCCUACGGGAGGCAGCAGUGGGGAAUAUUGCACAAUGGGCGGAAGCCUGAUGCAGCAACGCCGCGUGCGGGAUGACGGCCUUCGGGUUGGAAACCGCUUUCGCCUGUGACGAAGCGUGAGUGACGGUAAUGGGUAAAGAAGCACCGGCUAACUACGUG